UACGUAGGAGGCUGGCGUUGUCCGGAAUCAUUGGGCGUAAAGCGCGCGUAGGCGGCCAGAUAAGUCCGGUGUGAAAGUCAAAGGCUCAACCUUUGAAUGCCGCUGGAAACUGUCUGGCUAGAGUCCGGAAGGGGCGAGUGGAACUCCUGGUGUAGCGGUGAAAUGCGCAGAUAUCAGGAAGAACACCAAUGGCGAAGGCAGCUCGCUAGGACGGUACUGACGCUGAGGCGCGAAAGCGUGGGGAGCAAACAGG
rnacentral:rRNA from 1 species